rnacentral:rRNA from 1 species
GACGUAGGGCGCGAGCGUUGUCCGGAUUUAUUGGGCGUAAAGGGCUCGUAGGCGGUUUGUCGCGUCGGGAGUGAAAACUCAGGGCUUAACCCUGAGCCUGCUUCCGAUACGGGCAGACUAGAGGUAUGCAGGGGAGAAUGGAAUUCCUGGUGUAGCGGUGAAAUGCGCAGAUAUCAGGAAGAACACCAAUGGCGAAGGCAGCUCUCUGGGACGGUACUGACGCUGAGACGCGAAAGCGUGGGGAGCGAACAGG